UCCCUGUCUAUCAAUCUUCUUCAUCUUGACUGACUCGGUACAUUGUUUUUCGAAACUAGAACAAGCAGAGCAGCAGAAUGAAGCCAAUUAAUCUCCUAGUCAUUCUACUGCUAUUGAUCGUCGUCGUCGUCGAAGUCUCGGAUGCCAGGAAGUUUGUUGUUGAUGAAGAAGUGAACAAUCGUUCCAACAACAUAUUUGGCAAUCAAUAUCAGAUAAUCCCAACUGCUACUACUACUGCACAUGAUAUUAACUUGGCAAAGUCGCACACAUAUGAACCACUAAAAUCUGGUGCCAAUCUUACAAUUACAGAAGGCAAUAUCGACAAACGUCGAGCUGGACGCGGUUUCGUUCAUCCCAGUCCUAGUCGUCCUGAUGGACAACAUCGUCGUUAGUCAGCGUUGAUUGCAAUGCAUAUAUCCUGGGGCAUCUGUUUGCUAUUUUGUUAUUGUUUUCUGAAUAAUAUAACUUUCUAUGUAAUACUGCAAUACUUUGUCGAUCAUGUUACUCAAAUAUUCACGUUGAGUGAGUAUUGUUGUUGUUGUUGUUCGUGGUGGUGGUGGUGUUACUUAUGAAUUUACUCAGGAUACAUAGAAUAAUACAA